rnacentral:sRNA from 1 species
UUUGCGUUAAGGAUGAAAGUGGAAAUCCUUUUUAUAAUGCAGCGCAGCGGAAUUACAAAAAGAUUGCAGCGAACAGCCUGGCCGAAG